CGUGCAGGAUGACGGUCCUAUGGAUUGUAAACUGCUUUUGUACAGGAAGAAACAGUUCUACGUGUAGAACCUUGACGGUACUGUAAGAAUAAGGAUCGGCUAACUCCGUGCCAGCAGCCGCGGUAAUACGGAGGAUCCAAGCGUUAUCCGGAAUCAUUGGGUUUAAAGGGUCCGUAGGCGGUUUAGUAAGUCAGUGGUGAAAGCCCAUCGCUCAACGGUGGAACGGCCAUUGAUACUGCUAAACUUGAAUUAUUAGGAAGUAACUAGAAUAUGUAGUGUAGCGGUGAAAUGCUUAGAGAUUACAUGGAAUACCAAUUGCGAAGGCAGGUUACUACUAAUGGAUUGACGCUGAUGGACGAAAGCGUGGGUAGCGAACAGGAUUAGAUACCCUGGUAGUCCACGCCGUAAACGAUGGAUACUAGCUGUUGGAAGCAAUUUCAGUGGCUAAGCGAAAGUGAUAAGU
rnacentral:rRNA from 1 species